AUUGAACGCUGGCGGCAGGCCUAACACAUGCAAGUCGAGCGAGCGGCGGACGGGUGAGUAAUGUCUGGGAAACUGCCUGAUGGAGGGGGAUAACUACUGGAAACGGUAGCUAAUACCGCAUACCAUCAGAUGUGCCCAGAUGGGAGUAUCUAGUAGGGGUGGUAACGGCACACCUAGGCGACGAUCCCUAGCUGGUCUGAGAGGAUGACCAGUCCCACUGGAACUGAGACACGGUCCAGCGUCCGACGGGAGGCAGCAGUGGGGAAUAUUGCACAAGGGGCGCAAGCGUGAUGCAGACAUGCCGCGUGUGUGAAGAAGGCCUUCGGGUUGUAAAGCCCGUUCAGCGGGGAGGCGUUACCCGCAGAAGAAGCACCGGCUAACUCCGUGCCAGCAGCCGCGGUAAUUC
rnacentral:rRNA from 1 species